UGAAGGCGUUGGCUAUAUCGAUUGACA
rnacentral:sRNA from 1 species